AUAUUAUGAACUUUUCAAGCAUACACAUACCCAACAACACGAUGGGAAAACAUUCAUAGUUGAAAAAGCCAAACAAAUUCAUGAACAAGUUGCAACGCAACGGGAGAUGUUGACAGGAACUGGGGAGCAAGUGGAUGAUAAUCAAUUAUAUUAUGAUGUGGUUGGUGGACAUGACAAGAAAA